rnacentral:rRNA from 1 species
UACGGGGGGGGGCAAGCGUUGUUCGGAAUUACUGGGCGUAAAGCGCGUGUAGGCGGCUCUUCAAGUCGAGUGUGAAAGCUCCAGGCUUAACCUGGGAAUGGCAGUGGAUACUGGAAAGCUAGAGUGCGGUAGAGGGUAGUGGAAUUCCCGGUGUAGCAGUGAAAUGCGUAGAGAUCGGGAGGAACACCAGUGGCGAAGGCGGCUACCUGGACCAGCACUGACACUGAGGCACGAAAGCGUGGGGAGCAAACAGG